GAUAAUGUUUUCUCGCCUUUUUUUUCCAGAUUGCCUGUGCCGCAGACUCCCAUAGGGGGUCCCCCUUGCCUGCUUGUCCCCCUGGAACGCGGCGUCUGUUCCCCUUCCACGGAGUCCCUCUUCAGCCUCGGACGCCUUGCCCACCCUGGGUAGACAACCAGGGAUUUUGCCACAUUGCAGACCGUCGCUUUUCCGGUGAUCGGUGCGAGCCCUUCUACGGGCGGGACCUGUACUCCGAGUGGAGGAGAAAUGCCUAUGUCCUCCUGCCACCGGGCCCUCGGACCACGCCGCCUCCGUGUCUGCCUUACCCCUGAGCCUCCAUGACUACAGCAACGUCCACUGCAGCUGCUACAGACCGGCUCUGCAUCAUCGUCUUCGUCAUCCUCGUCGUCUUCUAUCAUCUAUCAUCAGUCUUCAUCGCUAUCGUUCAGUCGUCAACUCUGACAGCUUGGAAAUACCUUGAGGAUCUUGAAGACCAACUCUUGCCCUCUCUCUGCAACACUGCAGCGGUCCGAAUAGUUUGUUAUCAGUACAGCAAGGAUGGUGUGUCCUGGUUUCAUAUACCAUCUUGCAUAUACUGUUUUUGUUUGUUUCUUUGUUCUUUUUCAUCUUUGUUUUCAUUCAGCAAUGGUUUACACCACCGACUGCUUGGUCGAGAUAAAUGGUCAGGACCUGGUGAUUGGCAGAUCUUCCCACUUUUGAUCUUUCUUCCAGUACAUUUCUUCUUUCAUAAAGGAAGGGAAAGUGUAGAAAGAAAAUGUAAAAAAAAAAUGUUCAUAAAAUCAAAGAAAUAUUUGAAAAGUGUGAUCGCGGGCUGACGAGAGUCUUCACAGUCCAUGGUCACGAUUGUUUGCGUUUGUGACUUGGAAAAUGUUUUUCCAUUUUCCGCGAUGCCAUUAUUUUUGUCCAUGUAGAACCUUUGAUAUGUAUUUCGCCUUUUGCUUGUUAAGCUUUCUAUGUAUUUGCCAAAAAUGUAUUGUUCAAAAUUGUGCAUGAUCGUUGCUUUGUCUUGGAGCCGAAGAUAUUUGUAUAUUUAAUGAUAUUUGUGUACUUAUUGAAGUUAAAAAUGAUUAAAGAAGACGGAAGACCAUUAACAGUCAUUGCAGCAAAGCGCCUUUGUUUGAUAUUAUAACCAAAUAAACUUCAUAAUCUGUUUGCUU